CCUACGGGUGGCAGCAGCAGGGAAUCUUGCGCAAUGGGCGAAAGCCUGACGCAGCGACACCGCGUGAGGGAAGAAUGCUUUCGGGUUGUAAACCUCUUUUGUUAGGGAAGAGAAGGGACUGUACCUGACGAAUAAGCCCCGGCUAACUACGUGCCAGCAGCCGCGGUAAUACGUAGGGGGCGAGCGUUGUCCGGAUUUAUUGGGCGUAAAGGGCGAGUAGGCGGCACGUCAAGUCCCAUGUGAAAUCUCCCGGCUUAACCGGGAGGGGUCAUGGGAAACUGGCGGGCUUGAGGACAGCAGAGGAGGGCGGAAUUCCCGGAGUAGUGGUGAAAUGCGUAGAUACCGGGAGGAACACCAGUGGCGAAAGCGGCUCUCUGGGCUGCCCCUGACGCUGAGGCGCGAAAGCAUGGGGAGCAAACCGGAUUAGAUACCCGGG
rnacentral:rRNA from 1 species